UUAGAUGCGACGUGGAGAAGACUGUCUCAAUCUAAAAUCCUCUCCACUUCAAAAUGAUUAGAUCUAAAUUUCUCUCGCCUUGACACCCAGCCAUUAGCCAUAUAACCCAAUAAUUUUAGAUUUUAUAGCACAGAUAAAUAAGUAUAGCAGAUCCAAAUAUUUGAUUUCGGGUUCUCAGGUUCAACAUUAUUUUUCUCUCAGAUGCGAUUUAGAUUGUAUAGCACAAGAAUACGAGAACCAAAUAUUUGAUUUAGGGUUUUCAUCUUCAACAACAUAUAGCUGAAUUCAUGGUCUGUUCCAGCAAUAAUCAUCUACUUAUUCGCAUAGUCACUCAACAACCAAAGCCCAAUUUACCAGCCAUGGCCGAUGCUCAUCUCAAGUCUGACGACCUCAUGGACCAAAUGAAACUCCUGAGCAAAGGUAUAUAUGAAAGUGAAAAACCUGAUGCCACCUUUUCUUUCAAGGAUGAAGAUUUGUUAAGGUCUCCAUUGGCAAGUUGAACCCCCAGAUUGCUUUCAUGAGGGGUGCGAUGAAGAUUAAGGGCAGUCUCAGCGUGCCUUGGAAAUUUACUCAUGACAGUUUUCCCAAGCCUUCAAAAAUGUGAGAGUACACAAAACCAAUGAUUUAUGUGGGAGGGUGAUUUACUAGACAGUUAUUUCAAUUUUCUAUAAAGCUACGAUUUUGUAGAUUGAUACUAUUUCACACCCAUAUUAGGAAAUUGAUAAUAAUCUGAAACCAUCCUUCAACAUAUGUGGAAUUUGAUUGAAAGUUUUUACUCCUAAAGGAAUUUUAAAUUUAAUUUUCCUUUCCGAAUCAUCUCAAGCUCACUUGUCUCUUUGAUUGAAAUCAUAAGCAUUCGAGGAUCUGUAAUUUUUUUAUGUACCUUCAUAGUUAGCUUAUCUCACUAUUAAGUUUAAACAAUUUUUGUGGAUUGGUUGUUAAUCUCAAGCAUUACGCACCAAUGCAUAAUUCUUAGUUUCUGUCAACAUUUAUUAAGAAUUGUGUUGGAGUUAGAAAUCAUUGUAAAAUUUCAAAGUAUGUUGUAUAAUGUUGUAGGUUGGGUAAAGAGGGAGAAAAGUAAGUACUCCAGGAGAAUUCUAAGAUAUUUUAUUCGAAUAAAAAAAUCAAAGGUCCUUGAAUAUCUCGAUCUUUCUGUGUUUUCAUUUUUUCAGAGCUAAUACUUUGGGAGGAAAUACAUAAAACUUUACUAUAUCUUGUAGUGGCUCACCUAAGAAAUGAAAAGUUGUGUUUAUCAUCUUCCAAAAGGGUUUUUGUUUUCCAUCAAAAUGUUCAUAUAUGUGCAGUUCUUUUUAAGAGAAUAACAAAUUGCAUGAACGUUGCGGUGGAAAAUUGUGUAUAAAAUGGCUAGAGGAACACUACACUUUUGUCUUUUGUUUUCUCUUCCAUACUAAUCUAUGUUCUGCUCAGUUGCUUAGAACACUGCAGUGGGAUUUCAUAGUAUGUUUCAUCUUCAUUUGAGUUACAGAAAUGCUACAACUAAUAAUGAUGAAAUUUUAAUGGAAAAUUAUUUUAUUUGUCUUCAUAAUUUUCCUCCUUCGCACUUUACCAAAAAAUAAUUCCCCCCCUUAAACUUCUCUAGAAACAAUUUUCUCCUGCAACAAUAGCUCGAGAAUUAUACUAACAAUUUUCAUUCUUUUAACCUAACCUAUCAAUACAAACAACAUCACAGCAAAUUGCAUGAUCUAUUAAUAUGUUUGAGAUAAUGGUGCAGAGUCUAAUGGUUUUAAUAACUCUAUCACAUGCAUUGAAAUUUGUGACGCUUGAACCAUUUGGAAACAUAGUAUACCGACUUUGGUUGCUGAUAAGUAUCUUAAUUCUUUAACAUCCAUAUAUUAUUCUUGUCAGUGAUAUGCAUUUAAGCAAUUACAAUAUAUUCCAACUUGAUUUAACUAGAAAGAAAGAGGAUUUGGUAUCUUGGAAAUAAGUAGGGUCCAUUUUUAUAGAUUAAUAUUUAUAUUUCUAAUUAUUUGCAUUAUUGUAUGCUCUUCAUAGGUUUGCAAUAAAGCUGACACUUUUUAUCCAUUAAAAUUUUCAAAGCAUCCUCAUGUUCUUCUGAUUUACGUUCAUCACAUGUAAUUAUGAACUAGCAUUUGACUUUGUAUAGUCAAGAUCAAUCUGCAUUCUUUGUUCUGAUGUGUACUAUAAUAAAAUCUUAUGCUGCUAAGCUUGCCUAGAAUAUAAGAACCAAUUUUUUGAUUAUUUGAUAAAGUAAUCAUUUUGUGCGAAAACAAAGUUUUCAAGUUGUUGGCAUGGUGAUGUUAUUUUCUUUGUUUCUUUGCAUUUGAGUCCCACCACAUUUUUUUUUCUUAGUUUUGGUACUCACAUACACAUGCCUCCACUGAGGCUCGAAACCCUGACCUCCUUUUGAGAAGUAAGGCUUUAAUACGACAUUAUUGUUAUGGUGAUGUUUUUGGAUCUCUCAUUAGGCUAAAAUCUCUCAUUAGGGGCCUUGUUUUUGGAUUACAAUUUAGUUGAUGUCUUUCCUACCCAAAUACACGUUUGUGUAGAUGUCUAUAAUAUACAACAGGAUUGAGGAAUUAUUCGCAACCAAAGGAAUGCAUAUCUGGUUAAUAUUCUGGUGAAAAUAUGUAAUUGAUUGUAUUGUUACAUUUUCUAUUUCACUUUAUUGUACUUGGGCAUAAUUUGAACUUCUAUUUGUAUAUUUGUAUGUAUGUAUGUAUGUAUAUAUGUGUGUGUGUGUGUGUGUGUGUGUGUGUGUGUAUAUAUAUAUAUUUGGUGCUGGGACUUUGGGAAACAAGUGUAUUUGGGUGUGGAUAUGAUUAUAUGAUUCGUCUGCUGUGUUGAUUAUCAUUACCUAGGUAUUAUUUAGGUUUGAAUUUUGUUAUAUUUUUAUUUUUGGUAAUUAUUGAUGUCGGGUUGUCAAGUGGAUUUGACACUGCUCAUGACGCUGCGGCUAGGUAGUAAUUAUUUUAGAUAUGGAGAACUCUUGUUAGUUUAGCUUAAUUUAUAAGCUGUUUUAAUUAAUACUUGUUAAUUAUUUUCCGGAAUCAAUGCUCAUGCAUCAAUUUUAAUCUCAGUGAUUAUGUUAGGGAUGUAGAACACGUUUGAUGCUUCACAAUUUUUUAUCAGACAUAUAAUUAUGCUAGAUCACCACCGGUCUUCCUUCAUUUACUAGUAUUCUAAUUGAAUCAUCUGCUUUUAGUUUUCAUCAAGCACCUAUUCUUCAAGUAGAUUUAUUUAUUUAUCUAUUAGUAAAAUGACAUUUUUUUUAAUGCAGGUUGUUAGUGCCAUUGAUGCAGAUACCAUGCUCCUGGAGUUUGACUUUAUUAAUAUUGAAGAUGAAGCACACGGUGCAAAUCAUUGCAUACGUUGAUAGAGAGUUGAUAUAAAGUUUUCUGAAACUUGAAUUAUUAUUUUUAUUAUAACCAUUGUAUUAGGUUGAUUGAAUUGAAGAAGUUUGAUUCUUUUAAUUUAAAUUACUCCUAGUGUCAAUGAAGGCAUCAUAGAUAUAUUGUAAUUAAUUGUUUAUCAAUUUAUGAAACGUCUUUGAAGAAA